UGCAGGUAAUGGGAGGAAGAUUAAGCUCGAAGAAAAGAUUUUCGAAGAGCAUCGAGCCCAAGAGCCUGAAUUCAUUAGUGAGCCAGUUGAUGUGAUAUCUCAUCCACCUCAUAGAUCUAAUAGGAUCUUCCAUCCUCCUGAAAGAUACUUAGGUAUUCUCACAGAAGACCUAGAGGAAGUAUUCCUUAUGGGAGAUAGGGAUAUUAAGAAUGAUCCCAAGACCUAUGAUGAAGCAAUGUUAGAUGUAGACUCU
rnacentral:lncRNA from 1 species